CAGUAGCCGCGGUAAUACGGAGGGGGCUAGCGUUGUUCGGAAUUACUGGGCGUAAAGCGCACGUAGGCGGCUUGGUAAGUUAGAGGUGAAAGCCUGGAGCUCAACUCCAGAAUUGCCUUUAAGACUGCCGAGCUAGCAGGUGAGAGAGGUAAGUGGAAAUCCGAGUGUAGAGGUGAAAUUCGUAGAUAUUCGGAAGAACACCAGUGGCGAAGGCGGCUUACUGGCUCAUACUGGACGCUGAGGUGCGAAAGCGUGGGGAGCAAACAGGAUUAGAUACCCCUGUAGUCCCUGUCUCUUAUAC
rnacentral:rRNA from 1 species